rnacentral:rRNA from 1 species
GCCGAUGGUAGUGCGGGAUUCCCCGUGUGAGAGUAGGACAUCGCCAGAU